rnacentral:ncRNA from 20 species
AUACUUUUGCUAUGCAAUGGUUUCCGAUUCGUUUUCGCGAAUGGAAUUAAAAGGGAAUGCCGUGCAAAUCGGCAACAGUUCCCGCUGCUGUAAGUUCCAAAGAUGUUUUGACAUACUUUGCCACUGACCUAAAGGUUGGGAAGGCGUCAAAACGGAAUAAGUCAGAAGACCUGCCUUGCGUAUUUAGAUUUUG